AACCACAAUUCCAGCCAUGGGACGUAACAGAAAGAAAAUACAAGAAAGGCAGGCAAGAAGAAGUUGGUGUUUUUAACAAGUUCUUGGUUUGUAAAGACUAAGGAGAGAAGAGGGUAUUUAUACGAAUGAAAAGGAAGGGUUCAAAUUUGGAUGCCAUUGGAAUAUUACGAGAAGAUGUUUCUGUGCUGAUUGAGUGGGAUGAGGAGAACGCAGGAAUAAGGGAAUAUUCCGUGUAGAGUCCCAAACGGUGAGAUUCUUAGAACCUCUUCAUGUUGC
rnacentral:misc_RNA from 1 species